CACCGCGGUCACACGAUUAACCCAAAUCAAUAAGUACCGGCGUAGAGCGUGUUUAGGAGAAGACUCAUAAAUAAAGUUAAAUCAGAUCCAAGCCGUAGAAAGCUAAAGAUCAGACAAAAAUAAUCCACGAAAGUGACUUUAUCAGCUCUGAACACACGAUAGCUAAGACA
rnacentral:rRNA from 1 species